GAAGGAAGCAAUGGAGUGAGUCCGACUCCGAGUCGGUUUGUGGGGGCGGGUGAGAGAAGGUGAGUGAGGGAGAAAUCGAAAAGGAAAAAGAAAAAAGAAAAGCCAUUUCAGCCAGAGAAAUCCAAAAGUUAUUUAUUUAAAAAUCAAAAAAAAAAAAAUUUGAAAAAAAAAAAUUUGAUUUUUGUGUAGAAGAGAAGGAGCCUGCCUGCUUGUUUCAUCAAGUUCCCACCUCACCCACCUGUCCCUUCCUUCCCCUUUCUCCUUCUCUUCAUCUUUUUUCCAAUACCCAUUUCUUCUUUUGCCCCGAAAACCUCUCAAAAUUUCAUAUUCAUCAAUCUGAAUAUCAUACUACAAAUAUUCCUGACGAGUAUUUUGGAAAUAUAAAUUUGUUAUUUUGUUUUGUUGGUGUGGAUUGAAGGUGGUUUCAUCUAUGAGGAGAGGGAGAGGAGUUGUGACGACGGCAGCAGCAGCAGCGGCGGCGCCGGCCGGCAAAGUGAUAGAGGCUAACGGUGGAUCUGCGUCGAGAAACGUGUUGAAAGAGCCAAGAUAUAGAGGGGUUCGGAAGAGACCAUGGGGGAGAUUCGCCGCCGAGAUCAGAGACCCGUGGAAGAAGACACGUGUAUGGCUCGGAACGUUUGACUCCGCUGAGGACGCUGCCCGUGCCUAUGAUGCGGCAGCGCGUACACUCCGUGGACCUAAAGCGAAAACGAACUUUCCGAUUACUCCAGCAACAAACAUGCCUUCGUUUUAUCCCAGUAAUGAUCCGUUUUUGGAUCAGAGAUUAUACGGCACCGCUAACGGAUUCCAAGAUUUUCAAGAUCAGCAGAUGGUAAAUCCGCAGCGACCCACGACGAGCAGUAUGAGCAGUACUGUCGAGUCGUUUAGCGGUCCACGGCCACCACAUCAGUCGAGAUCGACGAAUCUGACACCGGCGGCGGCAAGUUCACGGAGAUAUCCACGGACGCCGCCGGUCGUCCCGGAGGAUUGUCAUAGUGACUGUGAUUCGUCUUCAUCGGUGAUUGACGAUGAUGAAAAUAUUGCCUUGUCUUCCUGCCGGAAGCUGUUGCCAUUUGAUCUAAACUACCCACCGUUGGAUGAUGUUGAUUUCAACGGUGAUGAUCUGCACUGCACCGCCCUAUGUCUCUGAUGGUGGAAUAACAGAUUGCAGGCUUGCAGCCAAACAAUGCCUUUAUCAUGCACGUCGAGUUUCAACUUUCUCUCUAUUUUUCUGGGUGAAGGCUCCUGGAAAUCCAGUGGACUUUCACAGCAAUUUCCUGAGGAUGUUUGCACUGUAGGGGCGAGUGCAAGUUAGACGAUGUGAUAGGUUGCUCUUUCACGAAACAAUUGUAAGAGGGACCGCAAUAGAUGCCCGAUUCGAUAUGAUACAUAUAAAAAAUGAUAUGUAUUAUUAGCUGUAUGUAUUAAAUUAAUACAAUACAAAAUGAAUUUAUUGUGUAAUAUAACACAUACAUGAGUUUUUAAUAAGAUGAAUAAUAUUAUUAAAUAAAUAAA